rnacentral:rRNA from 1 species
UGGUGACUAUAGCAAGAAGGUCACACCUGUUCCCAUGCCGAACACAGAAGUUAAGCUCCUUAGCGUCGAUGGUAGUCG